rnacentral:tRNA from 1 species
AGGCAUAGUUAAAUGGUAUAACAAUAGCUUCCCAAGCUGUUGUUGCGGGUUCGAUUCCCGCUGCUUG